rnacentral:rRNA from 1 species
UACGUAGGGUGCAAGCGUUGUCCGGAAUUAUUGGGCGUAAAGAGCUCGUAGGCGGUCUGUCGCGUCUGCUGUGAAAACUCGGGGCUUAACCCCGGGCCUGCAGUGGGUACGGGCAGACUAGAGUGCGGUAGGGGAGACUGGAAUUCCUGGUGUAGCGGUGAAAUGCGCAGAUAUCAGGAGGAACACCGGUGGCGAAGGCGGGUUUCUGGGCCGUAACUGACGCUGAGGAGCGAAAGCGUGGGGAGCGAACAGG